AGUGAUUUCGCUCAGUGGUAGAGCACUUGCAUAGCAUGUGCAAAGGUCCUGGGUUCAAUCCCAGAACUACAC
rnacentral:tRNA from 1 species